rnacentral:rRNA from 1 species
CAUGCAAGUCGAACGAACUCUGGUAUUGAUUGGUGCUUGCAUCAUGAUUUACAUUUGAGUGAGUGGCGAACUGGUGAGUAACACGUGGGAAACCUGCCCAGAAGCGGGGGAUAACACCUGGAAACAGAUGCUAAUACCGCAUAACAACUUGGACCGCAUGGUCCGAGCUUGAAAGAUGGCUUCGGCUAUCACUUUUGGAUGGUCCCGCGGCGUAUUAGCUAGAUGGUGGGGUAACGGCUCACCAUGGCAAUGAUACGUAGCCGACCUGAGAGGGUAAUCGGCCACAUUGGGACUGAGACACGGCCCAAACUCCUACGGGAGGCAGCAGUAGGGAAUCUUCCACAAUGGACGAAAGUCUGAUGGAGCAACGCCGCGUGAGUGAAGAAGGGUUUCGGCUCGUAAAACUCUGUUGUUAAAGAAGAACAUAUCUGAGAGUAACUGUUCAGGUAUUGACGGUAUUUAACCAGAAAGCCACGGCUAACUACGUGCCAGCAGCCGCGGUAAUACGUAGGUGGCAAGCGUUGUCCGGAUUUAUUGGGCGUAAAGCGAGCGCAGGCGGUUUUUUAAGUCUGAUGUGAAAGCCUUCGGCUCAACCGAAGAAGUGCAUCGGAAACUGGGAAACUUGAGUGCAGAAGAGGACAGUGGAACUCCAUGUGUAGCGGUGAAAUGCGUAGAUAUAUGGAAGAACACCAGUGGCGAAGGCGGCUGUCUGGUCUGUAACUGACGCUGAGGCUCGAAAGUAUGGGUAGCAAACAGGAUUAGAUACCCUGGUAGUCCAUACCGUAAACGAUGAAUGCUAAGUGUUGGAGGGUUUCCGCCCUUCAGUGCUGCAGCUAACGCAUUAAGCAUUCCGCCUGGGGAGUACGGCCGCAAGGCUGAAACUCAAAGGAAUUGACGGGGGCCCGCACAAGCGGUGGAGCAUGUGGUUUAAUUCGAAGCUACGCGAAGAACCUUACCAGGUCUUGACAUACUAUGCAAAUCUAAGAGAUUAGACGUUCCCUUCGGGGACAUGGAUACAGGUGGUGCAUGGUUGUCGUCAGCUCGUGUCGUGAGAUGUUGGGUUAAGUCCCGCAACGAGCGCAACCCUUAUUAUCAGUUGCCAGCAUUAAGUUGGGCACUCUGGUGAGACUGCCGGUGACAAACCGGAGGAAGGUGGGGAUGACGUCAAAUCAUCAUGCCCCUUAUGACCUGGGCUACACACGUGCUACAAUGGAUGGUACAACGAGUUGCGAACUCGCGAGAGUAAGCUAAUCUCUUAAAGCCAUUCUCAGUUCGGAUUGUAGGCUGCAACUCGCCUACAUGAAGUCGGAAUCGCUAGUAAUCGCGGAUCAGCAUGCCGCGGUGAAUACGUUCCCGGGCCUUGUACACACCGCCCGUCACACCAUGAGAGUUUGUAACACCCAAAGUCGGUGGGGUAACCUUUUAGGAACCAGCCGCCUAAGGUGGGACAGAUGAUUAGGGUGAAGUCGACAGCAAGAUGU